rnacentral:rRNA from 1 species
GACGAACCGUGCGAACGUUAUUCGGAAUCACUGGGCUUAAAGCGCGUGUAGGCGGGUCGGAACGUCGGCCGCUGAAAUCCCCCGGCUCAACCGGGGAAGGGGCGCCGAUACGACCGACCUGGAGCGACGUAGGGGGGACUGGAACUUCCGGUGGAGCGGUGAAAUGCGUUGAGAUCGGAAGGAACGCCCGUGGCGAAAGCGAGUCCCUGGACGUCGGCUGACGCUGAGACGCGAAAGCCAGGGGAGCAAACGGG